ACCUGGCCAUUACCUUGUAAUCCUGAACAGUAGUUCUCUGACUAAUUGCCUGUUCUGUUUUCCUUGAUUCCUAGGCCUGUAUACUGAGCUCCAUGCUGGAGAUCCUCUUGGAACCUCCUACAACUAAUCUGGAUUUUUUCCCUGGAUCACUUUUGCUGCCGGGCAGCCGCUCUUGUGUACCCUCCAGUCUGAUCGUGUUCGGCCUGCCCGCUCUCCCACGAGACCCCUCUGGAUCAUCAGACUUCCUGUGCAGCAGGAGAGCCCCAGACUCGCAUCUCUCUUCCCCCGGGCGGAUCCAUCCCUGCCUGAACUCCUGGCCUCUGGCCACACCACUCUCUGACUGAAUUCUCUGAAAAUCGUGUAAAUAAAUAAUUGAAUCCAC